rnacentral:rRNA from 1 species
UGGGGAAUCUUAGACAAUGGGGGCAACCCUGAUCUAGCCAUGCCGCGUGAGUGAUGAAGGCCUUAGGGUGUAAAGCUCUUCAGCUGGAAGAUAAUGACGUACCGUGCCAGCAGCC